rnacentral:rRNA from 1 species
UUCGCGAGGACANGCAAUCUCAUAAACCGUGGCUCAGUUCAGAUCGUAGGCUGCAACUCGCCUACGUGAAGGAGGAAUCGCUAGUAAUCGCAGGUCAGCAUACUGCGGUGAAUACGUUCCCGGGCCUUGUACACACCGCCCGUCACACCAUGGAAGUUGGCCACGCCCGAAGCCGUUACUCCAACCCUUGUGGAGGAGGACGUCGAAGGUGGGGCUGAUGACUGGGGUGAAGUCGUAACAAGGUAGCCGUACCGGAGGGUGCGGCUGGAUCACCUCCUAACA